rnacentral:lncRNA from 1 species
UCACCCUUCUCCUCCUCCUCGUGUUUUGGUCAAAACAUCAAAAUACCCCCUAUAUAUUUUCAUUUUUUUUUUCUUUUUCCCUCCAACAUCGUCUCUCUCUCUCUCUCUCUGUGCUUUUUCACUCUACACUCCCAGUUGUCUCUCUGCCUUGGUCGAUAAUUUAUACAGAAGAAACGAUGGAAGGUGGUCAACAGUACAAUCCUCGAACAGUUGAAGAAGUUUUUAGAGAUUUCAAGGGUCGUAGAGCUGGCCUUAUUAAAGCUCUUACUACUGGUAUACAACUUAAUUUUGCCCAUUUCCCAUUAAUAUUUGUCUUUUUUCUUGCGGGUUUUUAUUAUUUAAUUUCGGUCGGUCGUGCUUGGAUUUUGCAGAUGUUGAAGAAUUUUACCAGCAGUGCGACCCAGGUAAAAAAAAAAAAAAAACUCAUCUUUUUGCUCCUAUUUUGAAGUCUUGAGCUGCUUUUGCUUCACUUGGUUUAUGCUGCUGCUGUUGUUGUAAUCAUAGGGAUUUCUAAGUUAAGGUACAUUUUUUUUUGUUUCUUUUAUUAAUGAGACUAAAAACUUCACUUAAGUGUACUGCUGGCAAUAGGUGGAGUUAUUGUGGCUUUGGCAACUGUAAUGCUUUGUUAUUGUUUUAUUUAAUACUGCAAUUUUUCCAAUGGUUUUGGCUAAUUAGAUUGAUAUUUAUGCGUCCAUAUUUUUUGACUUAUUGCUAAAGUUCCACUUGUGUAAGCUUCGCAAAGUCAGUUCCUAGGUCCAAUAGAGGAGGAUCUCGGUAGAUUGUUCAUUAAAGUAAAAUAAUCAAAACUCUUAUGAAUCUUAUGAAAAUUGAAUUCGUUUGGAUGUGUUCACCUAAGUGUCUACUACAUAUGUACCUUACUAUAGUUUAUAGGGUAACAUGUUUGAUGAUACUGGUACCCAAAGGUGUGGCUUAGUGGUCAAUGAAGUGGGUUGAGAACCAUGAGGUUUCAAGUUCAAAUCCCAUCGGAGACAAAGAACAUUAGGUGUUUUCUUCCCAUUUGUUCAAGUCUUGGUGGAUAGAGUUACCUAAUACCUGUUUGUGGUGGGAGGUAGCAAGUAUCCCGUAAAAUUAGUCGAGGACGCAAGCUGGCCCGAACACCACAAUUAUAAAAAAAAGGUUUGAUGAUAUUGGUGCUUGGGUGUGAUUUAACACAUAGAAUUAAGUUAAGAUUGUUGAAAUGGAGGAGUGUUACAUGACUCCUAUGUGAUAGGAAAAUAUCUAACAAAACAAAACAUAAGUUGUAUAGCAUGGUUGUGAGACUAGCCGAUGUAUACACGAGAGUGAACAGUGGUCUCUAAGAUCUAACAAAUCCACAAGAUAAAUGUCAUGGAACUACCAACAUUAAGAUGGAUACAUGGUCAUACAAAUAGACAAGAUUAGAAAUUAUCACAUUUAAUAGGUGGUGUGAUAAAACAUAUAUGGACGACAAGGGGAGAGGUCUUGAGAUGGUUUAACCUUGUUUUACAUAGACUUCUUGGUACACCAGUCUCUAGGUUCAUCGUUGUGACGAUUGAAGGUGUUAGAAGGGCAUGGGGUAGACCUAAAAUAACAAAGAGGGAAGACAAAAUCAAUGCAGAUUUAGCUAAGAGCAGAACGUAAUGGAAGCAACAGAUCCAUGUACGCGAUACAACUAGCUGAAAUUGAAAUUAAGAGCUGUACUUACACAGCUAGAUGGAAUUAAUUGUUAGGUUUUGUUGCUAUACUUUGGUUUCAAUGUUUUCCCAGCGCAUUCUUAGUUUGAUUAGCUCUAUAGAGAUAAGUGUAAGAUCUCAUCAGAUUGGAAUGGAUGCAUAGGAUUCAUAUAGCCACCCUUUCUAUAUUUAGGUGUAGCCUAUUGAUUGAUUAAUACUGUUUGUGCUGAAUCUUGUCAUUUGCCAUCGUUGCUUUGUGUUUAUUUUAUGAUGAAAUUGCUUUUAGAGUUCUAAUUAAUCUGUUAUGUUUUCUUUCUUCUGUCAGAUUUUGCUGUUGAUUUUAGUAUUUAGUGUAGUUGGUGGAAGGGUGCCGUAUGGAAUAAUAAGAGUAUUCAAUGUUCUUGAACUACUUUAAAGUUGGGGUUAUAAUCAUUAAGUACUGCUUCUUGUAAUCUUAAUAGCAGGUUGAAUUAGUGAGACAAUGUUGAUACAUAGUAGUCUUCUUCUAUUCAUGCUCUGCCUGUGGCCACACAAGAUUUGUAUGGAGAACUUCUUUUUGAGAAUGAAAAGAUUAAGGACCAAUGUGGAGAACUUUCAUGAGAAAAAAAUGCAAGGAAAUAUUUGUGUGAAGUUAGGGGCGAAGUUGUUUUUAAAUUGUAUAUUCAAACAAUUCAAACUUUAAAAGGGAAUAAAUAGCAAAAUUUUAUAAAGAAAAUGGGGUUGCAGCCUCCAAUCUGCCAGAUCUGUUUCUUUGGUCACAGCCUUUAAUAGCUUUUAUAGUUCAAAUCCGCCAUGUAUUUUUUCGUUUCCUUUUGUAUGCAAGAACUAAUUGUUGUGGAUUCAUGUGUUCAAAUUGUGUUUUGUCAUGAAUAGUUGUGAAUGGGAUCUCAAACCUUUUCAGAACUAUUUGAAUCUAUCAUUAGAAGACGGAUGCCUUGUAUACUUAUCCUUUUUUGUUUCAUUUGGUUUAGAAGGCGGGUGGAGUUAUGUAUCUAGUUGUAGCAUAGUUCACUGUGAGGCGACUGGAUGAGUUACUGCAUCAUUCUAUAGUAUAGUUUAGUCGAUGAAUUUAAUUAUUUAUAUGCGAAGUUGCAUUUUGACAGGAUGUGUUAGCUGCUGUAUUGUAACAGAUGUUGUAGUCAAUAUAGUAGUAAAUAGAGUUGGCUGUAUUACUUUGGUCUUUAAUGUCUAAACUUUGAAGUCAUAAUACUGGGCCCGAGAUUAUGAAUAGCCGUUCUUCUUUGGCUUUUUGCCUUUUUUUUUUUGAGAAGAGCUUUUUGCCAAUUUCUUUGGUUUACUUAUUAAUUAUACUAUAUAGCUUGAGGAUAAUUCUGGAAUGGGGACAAAGUUCCUCGUACUAAUUGUUAGAAUUAUUUAUGGUAGGCAUUUGAUCUUUGAGAAAACUUCUAACUUAUGAUGUUUUUAGCACCAUUCAGCGUUAAAGAAACAAUUUUGGAACACGAUGAAAAUGGUUUCCAGCUAUAACAGUAUCUUAAUGUUCUCUUGUUUGGUUUUAUGUGUGGGCUUCCGUAUUCUACAAAUAAGCAGCAUCUUUUUACCCUGCUCUGUUUUUGGGUGUUCAAGUAUGAAAAUUUACUAUGAUUAUAUUUGGAUGUACAUUUUGGAUUGGUUUUGGCAUAAACCCUAUAUCCUGAAUCUUGGAAGAGGAAAUUAGUCAGUGUUGGACUAGAAAAGCAUAUGAUACAGCAGCUAAACACAUUUUCCGCUAUCUGCUAUCCUGUUUUGAGAUUACGUGAUUUGAUACGAAAAGUUCUUGCUUGCCCUGUUUUAAGAUUUUUGUUUGUUUUGCGGAUUAUGGUCCAGACUGUCUAGAUAAAAAAUGAAGCAGCUGGUCAAGAUAACUCCUUUAUGCGACAUUCCUCAUCUAAGCUAAUACUUGUGCUAGUCAAACAUGUCGCGCAUCUGGCGAGCAAUCUUCAUCUUGUACAAACAUUGCAAGUCACCAUUUGCUAUUUGAAGGAAGAUGGAUACAUUUUUGGCUCCUCUCUUAUCCCUACGUCCCUCCCUUCCUCUAUCCUCCUCUCUUUCUCAAACAUGACGAAGAUGAUUUUCGAUUGAAGUGUCAUAUUAUCUCUAUUAUUUUUUUAGUUCUGUGCUAAUGGCACAUAUCAUACUUAUAGUUGCAUUAGUAGAUUUAUUACUCUUCCUGAAGUUGUCUUCUGCAUUUUUUCAAGGUUGUUCAGACUCUUGGUGGUUGCAUGAUGUCUCGAAGUACCUUCUCAUCUACUGCAAUAUUUGACUUUUAUAUAUCCCCACGCCCUAAGCUCAACAUUUUAUUUUGAAGGGAACAAUUUAUGAUUCAGUUCUCACUGAAUUGCAGAAAAGGAAAAUCUUUGCCUCUAUGGAUUUCCAAGUGAACAGUGGGAAGUCAAUCUACCAGCUGAGGAAGUGCCCCCAGAGCUUCCAGAGCCUGCUCUGGGCAUUAACUUUGCCCGUGAUGGCAUGCAAGAGAAGGACUGGCUAUCUUUGGUUGCUGUGCAUAGUGAUGCAUGGUUACUUGCUGUUGCAUUUUAUUUUGGCGCUAGGUUUGGUUUCGAUAGAGCUGAUAGGUAUGUUUUCUCUUUUCUCUUUGAUUUCAUCUGUUUUAGCUCAAACCAAUUGUCUAAAUUGCAAAUUGGAGCCUUAACCAGUGUUGCAAAAUUAGAAAAAACUUGUUUUGAUGGGUAAAGCUAGAACCUAAAAGGUGACAUUUUUACAUAUAGUUCUUGAAUUUUCCACUGGUACACUUUUAACUGUGUCCUCUACUGUUUUAUCUAUUACUCUUUUAUGACUAUAUGGCUUGUUAAUAUGGUUGUUUGCUAUAUAUUUUAGCUUGUCCUUUACUUCCACAUUUGGAUACAAUUUCUCAUGAUAUACAUAGAGUAACUGUUUAUUUCUUCUGCUGAGGCAAAUUUAGAUGAUGGCCCUGUUCUAGUUUUCCUUUUAGAUAUUGGAAUAUUCUAGACUAGCAAUUCCUUAUCUUCUCAUUGCUCCCUUUUUUAUGGAUAAUGUUAAUUCUCGUUGUUCCUUAUUGCAAGUAAGUUAGUAAAAUAGCAGAGUUUACUUAAUUGAAUUUGUACUGCUGUUCAUGAUAUAUAACAUUAGUGGUAGGCAGAGGUGGAUCCAGGAUUUGAAGGUUCUGGGUGUCAUAUUGCUUUGAACUUUGACUUAGUCUCUUUUGAGUUUCGGUUCAGGUUAUUCGCCUUUUUGGUUUAUAUAGACAAAUCGAUCAAAUAAAAUAGUAUAAUAAUUAUGGCGAGCAAAGCAUAAAACUUCAAUAAUAUAACUAAUAUCAACAAAAAAUUAGUAUUAUUCCUUUACAAUUGUAUUUGACAAAUUUUCAUAUUCUAAAGUUAAGGUUUGACUAAAGGAUGGAAAAAUAGGACUAAAACUUGCUAUAGGUGCAUAUUUAGAUACUCAAAGCAAAAACUUACUUAACAAACACUAAAAAAACAAUAAUUUUAGGGCAGAAUAGAAGAAAGAACUUAUAAAAUUUAAAAAGUCAAUAGAAACUCAUAAGGAAAAAAGAGUCAGCAUCAAUUGAAGAAAAGGAAAGAAGAAGAAACAAGGAAAGGAAAGAAAAGAAGCAGCAACAAAGAAAAAGAAAAGAAGAAAAAAGGAGAACAAAUCUCCUGUAAGGGACGAACAGAAUUAUUAGAAAAAAGCAAUAGCCUGGGCUCGAUCCCAGGCCAAGAAGGUGAAUCUGUAAGCCCUGAGCCAGUGGCACCAAGCAAUCCUUUAUUACUGCGGGUGCCACUUAACUUAUUUAUACGAAUUUCUAUAAUAUACAUACAUAUACAUAUAGUGAUUCGACCGAGGUGUGCGGGUGGCGUGCCACCCCCUUCCUCCUUAGUAGAUCCGCCCCUGGUGGUAGGCAGAGCAAGAGCUUUCGGUUUUCUAGACUAUGCUAUUGUGCAUCUGCUGCAUAUUAAGAGUUGGAUUAUGCUUUUACUCAAUUUAUUUUAGUUAGAUAACCAAUCAAAAAAAAUUGUUACAGUGACAUAAAUUCGUCAUGUGUAACAGUUAGAAUAAUAAAUCGAAGAGGUGAGCAACUAGAAUGCUAUGUACUUAAGAUUUAUUACCCAUAAAGUAUGAAAGAUACUUUAUGGACAAUGCAAAUUUACCUAUAUGAAAUUGUCUUCGGCUCAUCUCAAUCGGUGACGGGCCACUGAUGAAGCCAGUUGUGCCAAGGAACAGGUAUCUUUAUAGGAGUAUAAAUUAUGUCCAGAUCAGCAGUGACUACUUUAUUUAUUGGAGUAAAUGAUGAAGGUACCCACUAUCAGAGCCUCAGAGGGCAUUACAAUGACAGCUUUAAUGUGAUUGUUGUUUGAGCGGGUGCCAUGAAACUCGAAAGCACAUGCAGAAUAAGCAGAUAUUUCAGGUGACAGUGUAAAAGUGGGUCCGGUAACUGCAGUUUAACAUAAAGAUUUAACUUGUUGGUACAAGUGCAAAACCUCUCGAUGAAGGAGAAUUUAUCCAGAGGAACAUAGAAAUCAGUACUUAGAGGGGUGGCCCCUCACAGUCCAAAAAGGCAAUAAAAGGUUAUCAUAGUUGAAUGUCACAGUCCAAUUUGUUGAUCUUGUUUCCUGCAUUGGGCAUCCUAAGUAAAACUCAUUGUUUGCUUCAUAUUGUACUUAUAAAAUGUGCACUGCUUUCUUUUCCCAUGCUUAUUUACAUCGUUGUUUUGUUCCUUGAAGUAAUUUUCAUUUUUCUAUGUUGCAACACUUUAAAUAUAUCACAGCAUUAUUACCUAAGAAUGUGACCUAAAAGAAAAAAAAUUCUGGGAAAUGACUUGAAGUUACAUGCAACGUAAGGCAAAUUAACAAUCUUGUACACAUAAACCUGCUUGGCAUACUUGCAGACUAACUUGUGUUUUUCUUUUCUUUUUCAGUUUAACCAUAUUUACUGAGCAGCCAUUUUUUAUGUUGGGUUGCAGGAGAAGAUUGUUCAAUAUGAUAAACGAUCUUCCCACCAUUUUUGAGGUUGUGUCUGGGACAGCCAAGAAACAAUCAAAAGAGAAAUCAUCAAUGUCAAAUCACAGCAGCACCAAGUCUAAGUCAAAUUCCAAGGUAAUCCUUAUAGUUUCUUCAUCCCAUUCUCCCUUUUAGCCUGUCCAUUGGAUGUUUUUCCUCUUUCCUUUUGUUGCUCGAAUGACUGCCUAGCUGUGCGUGUACUUGGUGUGUUUGCUGACAUCAAUAUUUGCCUAUUCACUCGCCUAAGGUUCUUGGAUGACAGGGUUUUAAGUUUUAGAUUUACGAUUUUGGUACUUACUAAAGAAGAUCUAUUUCGUGGUCACAGAUUAUUUCAGCUGUCUUCAGACAAUUCUAUUCGAAUUUCAGGGUUUUUAAAUUUUUGAAUCAUUGGAGCGCGGCUAACAUUCUUUAGGCAUGUGUACAAUUUUAUGUUUCAAGUUUAACAUUGUAGUAGAAUCAUGCUCUCUGGUACGUUAAGAUUCUACAUAAGCAAAAUUUCUUCACUUCUAGUCGUAUUCAUUACUCAUUAGUAACAAAUGCUAAUAACAAGUAGGGGUGGCAAACGGGCGGGUUGGAUUAGAUUGGAUAUGGGCGGGUUGAAAACGGUAAAUAUCUUCCCCGAUCCAUAUUUAAUACGAAUAGNNNNNNNNNNNNNNNNNNNNNNNNNCUCUCUCUCUCUCUCUCUCUCUCUCUCUCUCUCUCUCUCUCUCUCUCUCUCUCUCUCUCUCUCUCUCUCUCUCGGGGGCUUGUUGUCCUGGUAUGAAUUCUAAGAAUUGUUUGUGGAUUUAUUGUUAGCUUUGCCUAGUUUACAUAAUCUGAUUCUGCUCGUAGGCGGCACAGCUUGGCUCUGAACCGCCACCCAAGUACUCAAGACCACAACCGAAAGAUGAGGAUGAAGAUGGUUUGGAAGAGGAGGAAGUUGACGAGCAAGGAGAAACAUUAUGUGGUGCUUGCGGUGAGAACUAUGCAUCUGACGAGUUCUGGAUCUGCUGUGACGUAUGUGAGAAAUGGUUCCAUGGGAAAUGCGUUAAGAUCACUCCAGCUAGGGCCGAACAUAUCAAGCAGUACAAAUGCCCCGCCUGCAGCAACAAGAGAGCACGCACCUGAUUGUAAGGUCACCAGGCUCACACUUUAUCAGGGAAUUAUUAACAAGAUCAUUUUCUAAUCUGAGGAAAUCUCUUUUCGAGAAGCUUGAAAAAGUCAUAGGUAUUGUUUCUAGGUUGCUAUGUUGUCCAGU